rnacentral:rRNA from 1 species
GACGAACGCUGGCGGCGUGCUUAACACAUGCAAGUCGAACGGAAAGGCCCUGCUUGCAGGGUACUCGAGUGGCGAACGGGUGAGUAACACGUGGGUGAUCUGCCCUGCACUUCGGGAUAAGCCUGGGAAACUGGGUCUAAUACCGGAUAGGAGCCAUUUUUAGUGUGAUGGUUGGAAAGUUUUUUCGGUGUAGGAUGAGCUCGCGGCCUAUCAGCUUGUUGGUGGGGUAAUGGCCUACCAAGGCGGCGACGGGUAGCCGGCCUGAGAGGGUGGACGGCCACAUUGGGACUGAGAUACGGCCGAGACUCCUACGGGAGGCAGCAGUGGGGAAGAUUGCACAAGGGGCGCAAGCCUGAUGCAGAGACGCCGCGGGGGGGAUGACGGCCUUCGGGUUGUAAACUCCUUUCGCUAGGGACGAAGCUUUUUGUGACGGUACCUAGAUAAGAAGCACCGGCUAACUACGUG